rnacentral:snoRNA from 1 species
UAAAUUUUUAUGAUGAUACAACUUAUUUAUGCAUAGUUCAACUGAUCAUACUUGAAGAUAAACAUAACCAUCGUCUUUCGCUCCUAUCUGAUUUU